CCAAUAGCGUAUAUUAAAGUUGUUGCAGUUAAAAAGCUCGUAGUUGAAUUUCGGGACCAAUCUGCCGGUCGUGCCUCCGGUACGCACUGGUUUUAUUGGUUUCUCCCUUCUGACGAACCAUGAUGUCAUUAAUUUGGUGUCAUGGGGAAUCAGGACUGUUACUUUGAAAAAAUUAGAGUGUUUAUAGCAGGCUCACGCUUGAAUACAUUAGCAUGGAAUAAUGAAAUAGGACGUUUGACCCUAUUUUGUUGGUUUCUAGGAUCGACGUAAUGAUUAAUAGGGAUAGUUGGGGGCAUUAGUAUUCAAUUGUCAGAGGUGAAAUUCUUGGAUUUAUUGAAGACUAACUACUGCGAAAGCAUUUGCCAAGGAUGUUUUCAUUAAUCAAGAACGAAAGUUAGGGGAUCGAAGACGAUCAGAUACCGUCGUAGUCUUAACCAUAAACGAUGCCGACCGGCGAUCCGCAGUCGUUAACUGAAUGACUCUGCGGGCAGCCUCCG
rnacentral:misc_RNA from 1 species